rnacentral:rRNA from 1 species
CACCGCGGUUAGACGGGAAGCCCAAGCUGAUAGUUUCCGGCGUAAAGAGUGGUUAAUUCACCCCUUGAAACUAAAGCCGAACGUCCCCAAAACUGUAAAAUGUGUUCGAGGACAUGAAGCUCACCCACGAAAGUGGCUUUACACUAUUUGAACCCACGAAAGCUAGGGGA